rnacentral:rRNA from 1 species
UGCCAGCAGCCGCGGUAAUACGUAGGGGGCAAGCGUUAUUCGGAUUUACUGGGCAUAAAGCGCGCGUAGGCGGCUCGAUCAGUCGGAGGUGAAAGCCCGCAGCUCAACUGCGGAACUGCCCCCGAUACUGUCGAGCUUGAGUGCAGGAGGGGUGACCGGAACUCCAGGUGUAGCGGUGAAAUGCGUAGAUAUCUGGAGGAACACCAGAGGCGAAGGCGGGUCACUGGACUGCAACUGACGCGAGGUGCGAAAGCUAGGGGAGCGAACAGGAUUAGAUA